rfam:Anaerotruncus colihominis DSM 17241 Scfld_02_7 genomic scaffold, whole genome shotgun sequence.
GGGCGCGGAUGGACGCCGGUGUGUCUCCCGGUCUUCAAAACCGGUGUGAAUGGCGCAGAACCGUUUGGGUGGGUUCGACUCCCACACGCGCUC